rnacentral:rRNA from 1 species
AGCGAACGCUGGCGGCAGGCUUAACACAUGCAAGUCGAACGGGCACUUCGGUGCUAGUGGCAGACGGGUGAGUAACGCGUGGGAACGUACCUUUCGGUUCGGAAUAAUUCAGGGAAACUUGGACUAAUACCGGAUACGCCCUUCGGGGGAAAGAUUUAUCGCCGAAAGAUCGGCCCGCGUCUGAUUAGCUAGUUGGUGAGGUAAAGGCUCACCAAGGCGACGAUCAGUAGCUGGUCUGAGAGGAUGAUCAGCCACAUUGGGACUGAGACACGGCCCAAACUCCUACGGGAGGCAGCAGUGGGGAAUAUUGGACAAUGGGCGCAAGCCUGAUCCAGCCAUGCCGCGUGAGUGAUGAAGGCCUUAGGGUUGUAAAGCUCUUUUGUCCGGGAAGAUAAUGACUGUACCGGAAGAAUAAGCCCCGGCUAACUUCGUGCCAGCCGCCGCGGUAA